UAUUUAUGACUAUUCCCUCUGCAAUAAGAGAGGGAGGAGAAAUAGAAAAAGAGAACACUGAAUUGACUUAGAUUAGAAUAAAGACUUUUCCUCACGGAGACUCAAAAGUUCUGCACAUAACUUCCUGAUCAGAAAUGUAAGCAAAUAAGAAAUCAGAUCUUCUCUGAAGGAGGAAGAUCUAUGUUGGAUCCAGGCACUAAAUUCACAGACCUGAUUGGCAAACUCAGGAAUGGAGCAGGAAAUUGCAAACAAAAAAACCCUGAAAAUACAAGAUAUGAGGCACGAACUUCUGAAUUUCAACUCUGUAAGGCAUCUGUAGAAACCUCCAAUUUACAAAUAAGGACUUCUCAGUGGUAUGGGACUGCUGUAUCACGCAAAAAAGGGAGGAAAUCAUCUGUAAACUGGUACACUGUGAUGUGUUAAGUGAGUUACAAAAUGGCUGCUUGCCUUGGUAUGCCAAAGAAAGGUGGUUGUGUUUUUUUCUGUUUUCGUUUUUGAGUAAGACAUGACCAAGUCACCUUAAAACUUGCCACAGGCCUCAGUCACCUAGAGCUUCAGCAAAGGAGUCCAGUGGCACACGCUGAGAACGCUUGUAAUCACAAUAUAAUAUAAAGCAUGCUUAUACAAUUUUAACUGUUCCUCCCCAGAUUAACUUCCACUAGUAAUCAUUGUUGGCUCCCCUCACUGCAAUAAGCAGGGUUAUUACCACUUUGAUGCUUUCAUUCUUCCUGUCCCUUCCUUCACUUCCCACAUCCUCAUACCCUUUUCUGCCCUCUCCACCUGUCCAACUCCUACCAUUUCUAGAAUCAACUAAAAAACUUUAUAAAAUAGAACAGACAGAACUAACUCAAGGUGAUCUAGUUACCUUCCUCAUUGUCAACAUCAGGGCAACAGUUAUUGUGCUUCCCCACAAGAUAGGAGUCUCUUCCUUCUGGUUUUGAUUUGAUAAAAUGGACAUAAUUUGUUUUACACUAAUAUAGUCCAACCUUUCUCACCCCAGUGAUGAACAUGUACUCUCUUUGGACCUACAGUAUCAUUUUGAAAUGAUGAAAAAGGAAGGAAGGUAGAGAGGGAGGAAGGGAGGUAGGGAU